rnacentral:rRNA from 1 species
UACGUAGGGUGCAAGCGUUAAUCGGAAUUACUGGGCGUAAAGCGUGCGCAGGCGGUUCGUUAAGUCAGCUGUGAAAGCCCCGGGCUUAACCUGGGAAUGGCGGUUGAAACUGGCGAACUUGAAUCUGGCAGAGGGGGGUGGAAUUCCACGUGUAGCAGUGAAAUGCGUAGAGAUGUGGAGGAACACCGAUGGCGAAGGCAGGUCUCUGGGCUGACACUGACGCUCAUGCACGAAAGCGUGGGGAGCAAACAGG